rnacentral:rRNA from 1 species
UACAGAGGUCCCGAGCGUUGUUCGGAUUCACUGGGCGUAAAGGGUGCGUAGGUGGUGGGGUAAGUCUCGUGUGAAAGCUCGCAGCUUAACUGCGAAAAGUCACGGGAUACUAUUCCGCUGGAGGCUUGGAGGGGGACUGGAAUACUUGGUGUAGCAGUGAAAUGCGUAGAUAUCAAGUGGAACACCAGUGGCGAAGGCGAGUCCCUGGACAAGACCUGACACUGAGGCACGAAAGCCAGGGGAGCAAACAGG